ensembl:lncRNA
UUGGUGGUAAUGGUGGUAAUAGUGCUGUGGUGUUUGGUGGUAAUGGCGGUGUUUGGUGGUAAUGGUGGUAAUAGUGCUGUGGUGUUUGGCAGUGAAUGGUGUGUUUGGUGGUAAUGGUAGUAAUAGUGAUGUGGUGUUUGGUGGUAAUGGUGGUGUUUGGUGGUAAUGGUGGUAAUAGUGAUGUGGUGUUUGGCGGUAAUGGUGGUGUUUGGUGGUAAUGGUGGUAAUAGUGAUGUGGUGUUUGGCAGUAAUGGUGGUGUUUGGUGUAAUAGUGAUGUGGUGUUUGGUGGUAAUGGUGGUAAUGGUGGUGUCUGGUGGUUAUGGUGGUGUUUGGUGGUAAUGGUGGGGUUUUAGUGGUAAUGGUGGUAAUAGUGCUGUGGUGUUUGGUGGUAAUGGCGGUAAUGGUGGUGUUUGGUGGUAAUGGUGGUAAUAGUGCUGUGGUGUUUGGCAGUAAUGGUGGUGUUUGGUGGUAAUGGUAGUAAUAGUGCUGUGGUGUUUGGCAGUAAUGGUGUUGUUUGGUGGUAAUGGUGGUAAUAGUGCUGUGGUGUUUGGUGGUAAUGGCGGUAAUGGUGGUGUUUGGUGGUAAUGGUGGUAAUAGUUGCUGUGGUGUUUGGUGGUAAUGGUGGUGUUUGGUGGUAAUGGCGGUAAUAGUGCUGUGGUGUUUGGUGGUAAUGGUGGUGUUUGGUGGUAAUGGUGGUAAUAGUGCUGUGGUGUUUGGUGGUAAUGGUGGUAAUGGUGGUGUUUGGUGGUAAUGGUGGUAAUAGUGCUGUGGUGUUUGGCAGUAAUGGUGGGUGUUUGGUGGUAAUGGCGGUAAUAGUGCUGUGGUGGUUUGGUGGUAAUGGCAGUAAUGGUGGUGUUUGGUGGUAAUGGUGGUAAUAGUGCUGUGGUGUUUGGCAGUAAAUGGUGUUGUUUGGUGGUAAUGGUGGUAAUAGUGCUGUGGUGUUUGGUGGUAAUGGUGUUUGUUGUCGUUGGUCUGAGGGAACAGUGAAUGUGAAUAAAUAGCAGAGUGCAGUAAACGCUCGACGUUCUACAGGGAAACUUCACCUUUAAGCUACAACACAAGGACACACACCAUAUGGCCACACACACACACACACACACACGACAAUCGCCCUUGGUGUUUAUCUCUAAAAUGUCUACAUGUGACACCGGGGUCAGUGGGGUCAUAAACACUCACCACUCUACUGUACGACCGCCAAAGAACUGAAAGAAAGAACUGAGCG